ensembl:lncRNA LINC00588 long intergenic non-protein coding RNA 588
GAUGUACACUAAGCGACCCUCAGCUGUGUGGGACCAGCCCUGCCAACUUCCAUCGUGGGCUCAGCUGCAGCUGCCACCUGCACACGGUGCGGGGAAGCAGUGAUGGCAACCUUUCACCGUGCCCACGCCACCAGCAGCGUGAAACCCAGGGCCAGACGUCACCAGGAGCCUAAUUCAGGCGAUUGGCCUGGCAGCUACAGGGCGGGAACUCGCUGCUCAGCCAUCGGAUUUAGGCUGCUGCACAGUCCCCAGCACUGGCGACCUCGUUCUCUGGGCGCAGGGCAAGGAAGAGAGGACCCCAGUUGGGAGGGUGGUGCACUCGGAGACCUGAAGGCCCUCUGGGACCAGCCUUGCCAGCCUCCGCCUUGGGUUCAGCUGCAGCUGUCAUCUGCAUAUGGCGCGCGGCAGCAGAGGUGGCAACUCUCAACGCUGCCCGAGCCACCAGCAGCGCGGACCCCUGGCCAGAUGCCCCAGCAGCGCCUAAUUCGGGCGGCCGGCCCUUCAGCUGCAGGAGGGGGGAACCAGUGGCUCAGCCCCAUGUAGGCGGCUGCACAGUGCCCAGCACUCAAGACCUCGCGCUCAAAAGAGGGCACAGGAGGAGCAGCUGCAGGGGGCAGCGUCGUUAGGCGGGCCCUGAGACAGCUGGGACCGCGCGCUCGGCUCUAGGGAGCUCGGCCAGUCCACAGGCGUCUCAGCAGCAGCUGCCACCUGCAUGCGGUGCCGGCGAGUGCUCGGCUCAGGGCGGUUUCUGGCCACACGCAGUUUCUGGCCACGCGCAAGGCGGUUGCCUUUUGAGGUCCCAUGGGCGCUGGGGCCCAACUGCUCUGCUCCGUAUAUUAUUUAUUCUCCGAGAGGUUGGAGACGUCCUUGUCCGAGAAGUUGGAGGGUCCCUGUCUGAGGUCUGGGCCAGACUGCCUUGCUUUCUGGUGCUGGGCCGGAUGGGGGCCGGGUGGGGGCUGGGCUGGGGGAAGGGCGAGGGCGAGUUGUGGCGUCUCUGAAGCCAAUAGCUGGGCCAUGAAGAUGAUCUUGGCUGUGGAGAGCCAGAAGGGCCAGGUGCGCCUGAGCUCCUGGAGUAGUAACUGCAUCUUCUCUGACCCCUGGUACCAGACUCCAGAUGAGGAUGUCGGGAUGAUACACAAAGCUGCGUCCAGGGGAACGCGUGGGAGCUGCAGCUGAGGCUCCCGCUGAAGAGAAAAGACCAGUCUGAAAUCUACAAGAACAGAGAAUUCUUCCAAAUCAACAUGAAAAUACCUCUAAAACUGGGCAAAGUACUUUUUCCAGCUCUGCAAGUCACCUAUGCACAUAGGAAAAAAAUACUUAAUGUGUCCGAUAAGAGAAGGACUUUAAUUUAAAAAAGGAAUAAAAUGCCGUUUUCUGUCCUAAGUUUGUGAAGAUGAGGAGCAGUGAUAUUUACACUUCUGCUUAAAGUUAAGUUGCUGAUGACUUUUCAAAAAGACAAUUUGGUGGAUGGUUCCACAUUUGGCCUGUGCCAAUGGCUGCCCAGAAGUGGUAACUUUUCUGGUGCACAGAAAAUGCCAGCUUAACAUCUGUGACAGUGAAAACAAGACACCUCUAACGAAGGCUAUAAUGUGCCAAGAAGAUGUGAAACUAUUCUGCUAGACCUUGGUGCUGAUCCAAAUAUUACCGAUGUCUAUGGCAACACUGCUCUCCAUAUGCUGUCUAUAAUGAGAAUAUGUCAAUGGUAGCAAGACUGUUUUCACACAAGACAAACAUCGAAGUGAAAAACAAUGUAGAGCAACCAAUGUUAUUUUCAAAAUAUUUGAAAUCCACUUGUUUUAACAUUGACAUAUGUAAGGGUCAGUUUUUGCUAUUUGGAAGCUUAAGCAAUCCCUGAAUAAAAAUAAUUUGAAAUAA